rnacentral:rRNA from 1 species
GAUGAACGCUGGCGGCGUGCUUAACACAUGCAAGUCGAACGGACUUAUGUUGAAACCUAGUGAUAUAUAAGUUAGUGGCGGACGGGUGAGUAACGCGUGGAUAACCUGCCAUAUACAGGGGGAUAACACUUAGAAAUAGGUGCUAAUACCGCAUAAGCGCACAGUUUCGCAUGAAGCAGUGUGAAAAACUCCGGUGGUAUAUGAUGGAUCCGCGUCUGAUUAGCUUGUUGGCGGGGUAACGGCCCACCAAGGCGACGAUCAGUAGCCGGCCUGAGAGGGUGAACGGCCACAUUGGGACUGAGACACGGCCCAAACUCCUACGGGAGGCAGCAGUGGGGAAUAUUGCACAAUGGGGGAAACCCUGAUGCAGCGACGCCGCGUGAGUGAAGAAGUAUUUCGGUAUGUAAAGCUCUAUCAGCAGGGAAGAUAAUGACGGUACCUGACUAAGAAGCUCCGGCUAAAUACGUG